CAGAAAAGAUGAUAGGGCCGUGAAGACUGCUGGGCUCAUGGCGUUACCUAUGAUCUCGACACCGCUAAAGUUGUCAAGACACUCAAGUUGAGCCUGAAUACAUGGUGCUCGUCGGGAGGGCUGUCGAGCACCGGAAAAUUGAUAAGCACCGGAGGCUACGACAAAGGUUUUCGAGGAAUUAGAAUCCUGGAACCCUGCGAUUUAUGCGAUUUCAAGGAAGAUGUUGGACUUUCUGCAAACAGAUGGUAUGCUUCUCAACAAGUCUUGGAAAAUGGUGAUUUUAUCGUGGUGGGAGGAAGAAAAUCUCACAACUAUGAAAUUGUCCCGCCAGAUCAGCUUAAAUUCCCGAACAAACA